rnacentral:rRNA from 1 species
AUUGAACGCUGGCGGCAUGCCUUACACAUGCAAGUCGAACGGUAACAGGUCUUCGGAUGCUGACGAGUGGCGAACGGGUGAGUAAUACAUCGGAACGUGCCCGAGAGUGGGGGAUAACGAAGCGAAAGCUUCGCUAAUACCGCAUACGAUCCCAGGAUGAAAGCAGGGGACCGCAAGGCCUUGCGCUCACGGAGCGGCCGAUGGCAGAUUAGGUAGUUGGUGGGAUAAAAGCUUACCAAGCCGACGAUCUGUAGCUGGUCUGAGAGGACGACCAGCCACACUGGGACUGAGACACGGCCCAGACUCCUACGGGAGGCAGCAGUGGGGAAUUUUGGACAAUGGGCGCAAGCCUGAUCCAGCAAUGCCGCGUGCAGGAUGAAGGCCUUCGGGUUGUAAACUGCUUUUGUACGGAACGAAAAGCCCUGGGUUAAUACCCUGGGGUCAUGACGGUACCGUAAGAAUAAGCACCGGCUAACUACGUGCCAGCCGCCGCCGUAACAC